UACGUAGGGCGCAAGCGUUGUCCGGAUUCAUUGGGCGUAAAGCGCGUGUAGGCGGCUUUGCAAGUCGGGUGUGAAAGCCCUCAGCUCAACUGAGGAAGUGCGCCCGAAACUGCAGAGCUUGAGUGCCGGAGAGGGUGGCGGAAUUCCCCAAGUAGAGGUGAAAUUCGUAGAUAUGGGGAGGAACACCGGUGGCGAAGGCGGCCACCUGGACGGUAACUGACGCUGAGACGCGAAAGCGUGGGGAGCAAACAGG
rnacentral:rRNA from 1 species